CAGAGUACGACUGUGGCCGAUCGAGUAAUUCACAAAGAACGAGGGACUGAUAUAUUCUGGACUUUCGCUUGUGCGACGGUAUAGAUUGACGGUUAGUUUCACAACUUCAUUUUCAUCUGUAAAGUUACUGUCCACACCAAAAGCGUCUACUUUGUAGCGAGUGAGCAAAUCAAUUUAUAGAAGAAACUCUUUUCUGGAUGAACAAGGCGACCCUGUUUCGUCUGUGACAGUGCGUACUGAAGGUAUAGAGACAACCGCUGUUUUUCUGGCUGUUUUUUUUUAAACUCUACUCAUCGCCACAUAGAUGUUCAUUUAACACAGCACCAGUGCCCAAUUUCAUAGAGCUGCUUAAGCAAAACAUUAUUGCUUAACAAUUGUCUGCUAAGCAGAACUGAACAGAGCAGUCACAUAGAUGUUCCUUCAACACAGUACCAGUGCAUAAUUUCAUAGAGCUGCUUAAACAGAACAUUAUUGCUUAACGAUUGUCUGCUAAGCAGAAUUGAACAGAACCGUCACAUAGUGUUGCUUCAACACAGCACCAGUGCCCAAUUUCAUAGAGCUGCUAAAGCAAAACAGUACUGCUUAACAAUUGUCUGCUAAGCAGAACUGAACAGAGCAGUCACAUAGCUGCUCCUUCAACACAGCACCAGUGCCCAAUUUCAUAGAGCUGCCUAAGCUGAGCAUCUUGCUUAACAAUUGUCUGCGAAGCAGAACUAAGCAGGAUAUCGAUCACAACUUGUACAUGGUAACCAUAUUCUAGUAAGUGACAUUUUAUUGUGCUGAGCUACUUUGUUGUGCUUAAGCAGCUCUUUGAAAUGUGGGACUGGCCUUAGAACAUCCGCAUAGUACACAACCACUUAUUGUUAAUAUAUUUGAUUGUAACUGGGUAAUAUUGAUAAAUAUUUUGUGAUUUGCAAACACCAAACACGACACUACAAACAAAGACCGUCUGAUUGGGGUUUGAACCACAUGUGUGGACACACUCUUACGAACACCAUUUCUGUAAAUUGAUGGUAAAUUUAUUGUUCUCUGUUAAACCCAUCCUUUUCAAAUUGUUCCCCUGACGAUGACUAGAGCAAGCUAGUCGAAACGUUGAGACUAAUAAGAAUUCACUACGUGGUAGUGUAGUUAAUAACGAUCUUCUAUAAGCUAUAUAGACCCGGUCGAUGUUCAUACCUUACGCUCAGGUAGUAGUUUAAAAGCAAGACAGUUCUUUUCAGAACUAAGAAGUCUCCCAACAAUCCAAAAAUCUACUCCGCAGUGU